AGUGAACGCUGGCGGUAGGCCUAACACAUGCAAGUCGAACGGAAGCACAGUAAGAGCUUGCUCAUACGGGUGGAGCGUGGCGGAACGGUGCGGUAUAUACCGGACUCCACUUUUUCGCGGGGGCUAAUGUAGGGAAACUUACGCUAAUACAACAUAUGACGUACGGGUGAAAGCCGGGGAUCUUCGGACCUUGCGCGAUUGAAUGAGCCGAUGUCGGAUGCGCUAGUUGGCGGGGUAAAGGCCCACCACGGCGACGAUCCGUAGCUGGUCUGAGGGGAUGAUCAGCCACACUGGAACUGAGACACAGCCCAGACUCCGACGCGGAGCAGCAGUGGGGAAUAUUAGGCGAGGGGGGCGAGCCGAAUCCAGCCAUACCGCGUGAAUGAAGAAGGCCUUCGGGUUGUAGAACCCUGUUGUUGGGAAAAAAAAGCAGCAGUUUAAUACCCCGCUGUUCUGACGGUACCCAAAGAAUAAGCACCGGCUAACUUCGUG
rnacentral:rRNA from 1 species